rnacentral:rRNA from 1 species
AGAACGAACGCUGGCGGCAUGCCUAAUACAUGCAAGUCGAACGAGACCUUCGGGUCUAGUGGCGCACGGGUGCGUAACGCGUGGGAAUCUACCCUUGGGUUCGGAAUAACAGUUGGAAACGACUGCUAAUACCGGAUGAUGACGAAAGUCCAAAGAUUUAUCGCCCAGGGAUGAGCCCGCGUAGGAUUAGCUAGUUGGUGAGGUAAAGGCUCACCAAGGCUACGAUCCUUAGCUGGUCUGAGAGGAUGAUCAGCCACACUGGGACUGAGACACGGCCCAGACUCCUACGGGAGCAGCAGUGGGAAUAUUGCACAAGUGGGACGAAAGCCUAG